GACGAACGCUGGCGGCGUGCUUAACACAUGCAAGUCGAACGGAAAGGCCCCUUCGGGGGUACUCGAGUGGCGAACGGGUGAGUAACACGUGAGUAACCUGCCCUUGACUUCGGGAUAACUUCAGGAAACUGGGGCUAAUACCGGAUAGGAAUCCUUGCCGCAUGGUGGGGGUUGGAAAGCUUCGGCGGUUUUGGAUGGACUCGCGGCUUAUCAGCUUGUUGGUGGGGUAGUGGCUUACCAAGGCUUUGACGGGUAGCCGGCCUGAGAGGGCGACCGGCCACAUUGGGACUGAGAUACGGCCCAGACUCCUACGGGAGGCAGCAGUGGGGAAUAUUGCACAAUGGGCGGAAGCCUGAUGCAGCAACGCCGCGUGCGGGAUGACGGCCUUCGGGUUGUAAACCGCUUUCAGCAGGGGCGAAGCUUGUGGUGACGGUACCUGCAGAAGAAGCACCGGCUAACUACGUG
rnacentral:rRNA from 1 species